rnacentral:rRNA from 5 species
AACUUUUGACGGUGGAUCUCUUGGCUCACGCAUCGAUGAAGAACGCAGCCAGCUGCGAUAAGUAGUGUGAAUUGCAGAAUUCAGUGAAUCAUCGAAUCUUUGAACGCAAAUGGCGCUCUUGGGUUCUCCCAGGAGCAUGUCUGUCUGAGUGUCGGAUUAUCAUCCAUC